GACGAACGCUGGCGGCGUGCUUAACACAUGCAAGUCGAACGAAGUGGCGAACGGGUGAGUAACGCGUAAUCAACCUGCCCUUCAGAGGGGGACAACAGUUGGAAACGACUGCUAAUACCGCAUACUGAAGGAGGGGAUUGCGUCUGAUUAGCUAGUUGGAGGGGUAACGGCCCACCAAGGCGAUGAUCAGUAGCCGGUCUUGGGGGGAGGACCGCCAAAAUGGGAACGGGACCAGGCCCAAGCUCCUACGGGAGGCAGCAGUGGGGAAUCUUCCGCAAUGGACGAAAGUCUGACGGAGCAACGCCGCGUGAGUGAUGACGGCCUUCGGGUUGUAAAGCUCUGUUAAUCGGGACGCGGUACCGGAAUAGAAAGCCACGGCUAACUACGUGCCAGCAGCCGCGGUAAUUC
rnacentral:rRNA from 1 species